GCAAAUGAUCCGCUUUACAAAUAUCCGCAAGGCUUGGAAGGCAGGCUUAGGCUGCUAAAACAGCCAUCUCUUCCUCCAAUACCUGAAGAGGGACACGCUUCGACAAGGCGGAACGUGUUGGAUGCGCAGUUAAGAAAUCAACUUUUUGCUGGAAGCGGAAUUCCGCCUAUUACUGGGUUCGCUCAUCACCGGCCACACCAUCCUCGAGUACCAGACUACGAUCGCAGAUUCGGGCCUCGCGUUGCCCUCAAUCUUGCCUAUUUCCGACUAAGAAAUCGCGAACGUGGUACGUAUCGUGCAUUCACUUCGACCUGCCAUAUGGCAAUAUCUC